GAUGAACGCUGGCGGCGUGCCUAAUACAUGCAAGUCGAGCGAACAGACGAGGAGCUUGCUCCUUCGACGUUAGCGGCGGACGGGUGAGUAACACGUAUGUAACCUACCUAUAAGACUGGGAUAACUUCGGGAAACCGGAGCUAAUACCGGAUAAUAUUUCGAACCGCAUGGUUCGAUAGUGAAAGAUGGCUUUGCUAUCACUUAUAGAUGGACCUGCGCCGUAUUAGCUAGUUGGUAAGGUAACGGCUUACCAAGGCAACGAUACGUAGCCGACCUGAGAGGGUGAUAGGCCACACUGGAACUGAGACACGGUCCAGACUCCUACGGGAGGCAGCAGUAGGGAAUCUUCCGCAAUGGGCGAAAGCCUGACGGAGCAACGCCGCGUGAGUGAUGAAGGUCUUCGGAGCGUAAAACUCUGUUAUUAGGGAAGAACAAACGUGUAAGUAACUGUGCACGGCUUGACGGUACCUAAUCAGAAAGCCACGGCUAACUACGUG
rnacentral:rRNA from 1 species